rnacentral:rRNA from 1 species
AUGUCGGUGACGGGGACAUCCGUGGCGGCGGCGGCGACCAUGCUGGCCGCGGCGGCCGCCAUCUUCAUCACCUUCGUCGUCUGCUUCUACCUCUUCCUCUGCGCCAAGCGCUACCGGGGCGCCGCGCCCGCAAUCGGCGGCGGCGGCGGCGGCGGGGGAGCGGACGGCAGGGGCCGGGGGCCGCGGUUCGUCUUCGGGGGCCCCUGCCACGGGCGGGGCCUGGACGAGACGGCCAUCGUGGCGCUGCCGCGGAGGGAGGUCGCCCAGGGGGACCCCGCGGCCGACUGCGCCGUCUGCAUCACGGAGCUCGCCGCCGGGGAGGCCGCGCGCCUGCUGCCGCGGUGCGGCCACUCGUUCCACGUCGAGUGCGUCGACAUGUGGCUCCGGUCGCACUCCACCUGCCCGCUCUGCCGGUGCGCCGUCGCCGACGAGGCGCCCACCGUGCAGCCCCCCGAGGCCGAUCCGGAGUCGCCCAUCUUCCCCACCAAUGUGCUCUUCUUCGGCUCCCAGGACGCCGUGGCAACCGGCGGCACACCACGGCAGCCGGCGGCACCGCAGCCAUCCCAGGGACCGAUCGCCGGCGUCGCGGCCGUGGUCGAGGCGGCGAGAGUAGCGGCCCUCCGGCGGCUGCUCGGCUGCGGCGGCGGGACGCCCCCGCCACCACCACCGCCGCCGCCGCAGGCAGGCCGCGACCUGGAGAUGGGCCCCGCGCAGGCCGGCGGCGAGAGCAGCACGCCGCGGCCGGCGAAACCACAGCCAGGUUCUUGA